rnacentral:lncRNA from 1 species
UGAUCUUGGCAGGAGCUGCUUUGCUUUAAUCGUGUGUUGAGGAAAACAAUCAGACAUCACAAGCGGGAACAAGAAUGGAAGAACAGAGACAGGGUCUCCCUUGAUUGUCCAGGCUGGAGUCCAGUGGCACAGUCACAGCUUACUGCAGCCUCAAUCUCUGGGACCCAAGCAAUCCUCCCACCUCAGCCUCCUGAGUAGCUGGGACCACAGGCAUGUACUACCACAUCUGGUUAAUGUUUGUUUGUUUUGUAGAGAGAGGGUCUUGCUAUGUUGCCCAGGCUGGUUUUAAACUCCUACCCUUAAGCAAUCCUCCCUUCUUAGCUCCCAAAGUACGGGGAUUAUAGAUGUGAGCCCCAAGCCCAGCCAAUAGUCUUAUUUUUCUUCAAACCUUCUUCCUGCCCUUUGUCAGGAUAUCAAGAAAACUCAAGAUCUUGGGUUACUUUCU